rnacentral:rRNA from 1 species
GACAGAGGGUGCAAACGUUGUUCGGAAUUACUGGGCGUAAAGCGCGUGUAGGCGGCCAUCUAAGUCGGGCGUGAAAUCCCACGGCUCAACCGUGGAAGUGCACUCGAAACUGGAUGGCUAGAGUCCUGGAGAGGAAGGUGGAAUGCUUGGUGUAGAGGUGAAAUUCGUAGAUAUCAAGCGGAACACCGGUGGCGAAGGCGGCCUUCUGGACAGUGACUGACGCUGAGACGCGAAAGCAUGGGGAGCAAAAGGG